rnacentral:rRNA from 1 species
UACGAAGGGGCUAGCGUUGCUCGGAAUGACUGGGCGUAAAGGGCGCGUAGGCGGCGAUCACAGUCAGAUGUGAAAUUCCUGGGCUUAACCUGGGGCUGCAUUUGAUACGUGGUUGCUUGAGUGGGGAAGAGGGUCGUGGAAUUCCCAGUGUAGAGGUGAAAUUCGUAGAUAUUGGGAAGAACACCGGUGGCGAAGGCGGCGACCUGGUCCUUGACUGACGCUGAGGCGCGAAAGCGUGGGGAGCAAACAGG